ACCCCAUUCAUAGAAGUACAACCUUCUCCUUUUUA
rnacentral:tRNA from 1 species